UUUCGGAGAGUUUGAUUCUGGCUCAGAACGAACGCUGGCGGCGUGGAUAAGACAUGCAAGUCGAACGAGAUUUAGCAAAGCUUGCUUUGCUAAAUCUAGUGGCGAACGGGUGAGUAACACGUGAGCAACCUGCCCAGAAGCAGGGGAUAAACCACCGAAAGGUGGUCUAAUACCGUAUGUGAUUACAAGAGAUAUCUCUUGUGGAUUAAAGCGGGGACCUUUUAGGCCUCGCACUUCUGGAUGGGCUCGCGGCCUAUCAGCUAGUUGGUAAGGUAACGGCUUACCAAGGCGACGACGGGUAGCUGGUCUGAGAGGAUGACCAGUCACACUGGAACUGAGACACGGUCCAGACACCUACGGGUGGCAGCAGUCGAGAAUCAUUCACAAUGGGCGAAAGCCUGAUGGUGCGACGCCGCGUGGAGGAUGACAGCCCUAGGGUUGUAAACUCCUGUCAUGAGAGAGUAAAGACUUACCGUUAAUACCGGUGGGUCCUGAUAGUAUCUCAAGAGGAAGGGACGGCUAACUUCGUGCCAGCAGCCGCGGUAAUACGAAGGUCCCAAGCGUUGUUCGGAAUUACUGGGCGUAAAGCGUGCGUAGGCGGCAUGGUAAGUCAGAUGUGAAAUCCCGGGGCUCAACCUCGGAACUGCAUCCGAUACUGCCAAGCUAGAGUAGUGGAGGGGAGUCUGGAAUUCACGGUGUAGCAGUGAAAUGCGUAGAUAUCGUGAGGAACACUAGUGGCGAAGGCGAGACUCUGGACACUAACUGACGCUGAGGCACGAAGGCUAGGGUAGCGAAAGGGAUUAGAUACCCCUGUAGUCCUAGCAGUAAACGGUGCGCGUUUGGUGUGGGCGGGUUCGACCCCGUCCGUGCCGAAGCUAACGCGUUAAACGCGCCGCCUGGGGAGUACGGCCGCAAGGCUAAAACUCAAAGAAAUUGACGGGGACCCGCACAAGCGGUGGAGUAUGUGGCUUAAUUCGAUGCAACGCGAAGAACCUUACCUGGGCUUGACAUGCUUGUCGUAGAUUUGUGAAAGCAGAUCGUCAGUUCGGCUGGACAUGCACAGGUGCUGCAUGGCUGUCGUCAGCUCGUGUCGUGAGAUGUUGGGUUAAGUCCCGCAACGAGCGCAACCCCUAUGAUUAGUUGCCAGCGAGUAAUGUCGGGGACUCUAGUCAGACUGCCUGUAUUAAACAGGAGGAAGGUGGGGACGACGUCAAGUCAGUAUGGCCCUUACGCCCAGGGCUGCACACGUACUACAAUGCCCAGUACAAUGUGAACCGAUACCGUAAGGUGGAGGAAAUCCUGAAAACUGGGCUCAGUUCGGAUUGAGGGCUGCAACUCGCCCUCAUGAAGCUGGAAUCGCUAGUAAUGGCACAUCAGCUACGGUGCCGUGAAUACGUUCCCGGGUCUUGUACACACCGCCCGUCACAUCAUGGAAGCCGCUCGCAGUCGAAGUACCCUAAUAAAAGGGCCCUACACUGUAGGUGGUAACUGGGAUGAAGUCGUAACAAGGUAGCCGUAGAGGAAUCUGCGGCUGGAACACCUCCUUUCUAAGGAG
rnacentral:rRNA from 2 species